GUGACCGAGCGCGCUAGGCUAGAGCGUUUGUUCACGCCUCGGUCUAGUGUCAGUUUCAUAGACACUAUUUCUGGCCGUUCUGGGAUUCUAGUAUGGUUUUUAAGGAUUGUGAGUGAUUUCCCCCAAGUGCGAGUGUGAUAAUAUCGUAACUGAGGUAUACAGUGCCCCAGGGUGCAAGACAUUACCUGUAAGAAAAGAAGAGGAGUAGUUGUUUACAUCAGAAAGUUUUUAUUAUGAUUGGAAAUGUGAUCAGGCAAAAGUUGCACAAAUAAUUCAUAGAUCUAAAUAUGUAAGUGAAAAAAGUGUGUUCUUGAAUAUUAUUACAGUCUGUAAGCCCAGGCUGCAUAAUCAUUCAGUGCAUAAAUCAAUGUACAUUAUCGAAAGUGUUUGAAAAUAAUCGCAAUACUCAAGAAUACAGAAGAAGAACAGGAGAGAGGGUCACUAGCUACAGGAACCCGAAAGCAGUCCCCACCAGAGGGAACAGCGCCGUCGCUUACCACA